CAGAGGUGGCAAGCGUUGUUCGGAAUUACUGGGCGUAAAGGGCGCGUGGGCGGCCUUCUAAGUCAGACGUGAAAUCCCCAGGCUUAACUUGGGAACUGCGUCUGAUACUGGAGGGCUCGAGUGCGGGAGAGGGAUGUGGAAUUCCAGGUGUAGCGGUGAAAUGCGUAGAUAUCUGGAGGAACACCGGUGGCGAAGGCGGCAUCCUGGACCGACACUGACGCUGAGGCGCGAAAGCUAGGGGAGCAAACGGGAUUAGAUACCCCGGUAGUCCUAGCCCUAAACGAUGAGUGCUUGGUGUGGCGGGUAUCGAUCCCUGCCGUGCCGAAGCUAACGCAUUAAGCACUCCGCCUGGGGAGUACGGUCGCAAGGCUG
rnacentral:rRNA from 1 species